rnacentral:rRNA from 1 species
UACGAAGGAUGCGAGCGUUAUCCGGAUUUAUUGGGUUUAAAGGGUGCGUAGGCGGCCUUAUAAGUCAGUGGUGAAAUCCUAUCGCUUAACGAUAGACGUGCCAUUGAUACUGUAGGGCUUGAGUACAGAUGCCGUUGGCGGAAUGUGUCAUGUAGCGGUGAAAUGCAUAGAUAUGACACAGAACACCGAUUGCGAAGGCAGCUGACGAAGCUGUAACUGACGCUGAUGCACGAAAGCGUGGGGAUCAAACAGG